UACGAAGGGGCUAGCGUUGCUCGGAUUUACUGGGCGUAAAGGCGCGUAGGCGGACAUUUAAGUCAGGGUGAAAUCCCGGGCUCAACCUCGGAACUGCCUUUGAUACUGGGUGUCUUGAGUGUGAGAGAGGUAUGUGGAACUCCGAGUGUAGAGGUGAAAUUCGUAGAUAUUCGGAAGAACACCAGUGGCGAAGGCGACAUACUGGCUCAUUACUGACGCUGAGGCGCGAAAGCGUGGGAGCAAACAGG
rnacentral:rRNA from 1 species